GAUGAACGCUGGCGGCGUGCCUAAUACAUGCAAGUCGAGCGAACAGACGAGGAGCUUGCUCCUCUGACGUUAGCGGCGGACGGGUGAGUAACACGUGGAUAACCUACCUAUAAGACUGGGAUAACUUCGGGAAACCGGAGCUAAUACCGGAUAAUAUAUUGAACCGCAUGGUUCAAUAGUGAAAGACGGUUUUGCUGUCACUUAUAGAUGGAUCCGCGCCGCAUUAGCUAGUUGGUAAGGUAACGGCUUACCAAGGCAACGAUGCGUAGCCGACCUGAGAGGGUGAUCGGCCACACUGGAACUGAGACACGGUCCAGACGCCUACGGGAGGCAGCAGUAGGGAAUCUUCCGCAAUGGGCGAAAGCUUGACGGAGCAACGCAGCGUGAGUGAUGAAGGUCUUCGGAUCGUAAAACUCUGUUAUUAGGGAAGAACAAAUGUGUAAGUAACUAUGCACGUCUUGACGGUACCUAAGCAGAAAGCCACGGCUGACUACGU
rnacentral:rRNA from 1 species